CAGUCGCCACGGUAAUACGGAGGGAGCUAGCGUUGUUCGGAAUUACUGGGCGUAAAGCGCGCGUAGGCGGUUACUCAAGUCAGAGGUGAAAGCCCGGGGCUCAACCCCGGAACUGCCUUUGAAACUAGGUGACUAGAAUCUUGGAGAGGUCAGUGGAAUUCCGAGUGUAGAGGUGAAAUUCGUAGAUAUUUGGAAGAACACCAGUGGCGAAGGCGACUGACUGGACAAGUAUUGACGCUGAGGUGCGAAAGCGUGGGGAGCAAACAGGAUUAGAUACCCCUGUAGUCCCUGUCUCUUAUAA
rnacentral:rRNA from 1 species